rnacentral:rRNA from 1 species
GCAAGUCGAACGGUAACAGAACUAGCUUUCUUGUUGCUGACGAGUGGCGGACGGGUGAGUAAUGCUUGGGAAUUUGCCUUUAGGUUGGGGACAACAGUUGGAAACGACUGCUAAUACCGCAUGAUAGCUACGGCUCAAAGUGGGCUUCGGCUCCCGCCUUUAGAGAAGCCCAAGUGGGAUUAGGUAGUUGGUGAGGUAAAGGCUCACCAAGCCCACGAUCCCUAGCUGGUCUGAGAGGAUGAUC